rnacentral:rRNA from 1 species
UACGAAGGGAGCUAGCGUUGUUCGGAAUCACUGGGCGUAAAGGGCGCGUAGGCGGUCAGCACAAGUCAGUUGUGAAAUCUCCGGGCUUAACUCGGAACGGUCAACUGAUACUGUGCGACUAGAGUGCGGAAGGGGCAACUGGAAUUCUCGGUGUAGCGGUGAAAUGCGUAGAUAUCGAGAGGAACACCUGCGGCGAAGGCGGGUUGCUGGGCCGACACUGACGCUGAUGCGCGAAAGCCAGGGGAGCGAACGGG